rnacentral:rRNA from 1 species
GAUAUGGCUCAGGAUGAACGCUAGCUACAGGCUUAACACAUGCAAGUCGAGGGGAAACGACAUCGAAAGCUUGCUUUUGAUGGGCGUCGACCGGCGCACGGGUGAGUAACGCGUAUCCAACCUGCCCACCACUUGGGGAUAACCUUGCGAAAGUAAGACUAAUACCCAAUGAUAUCUCUAGAAGACAUCUGAAAGAGAUUAAAGAUUCAUCGGUGAUGGAUGGGGAUGCGU